UACGUAGGUGGCAAGCGUUGUUCGGAAUUACUGGGCGUAAAGAGCUCGUAGGUGGUUUGUCGCGUUAUUCGUGAAAACUCACAGCUUAACUGUGGGCGUGCGGGCGAUACGGGCAGACUAGAGUACUGCAGGGGAGACUGGAAUUCCUGGUGUAGCGGUGGAAUGCGCAGAUAUCAGGAGGAACACCGGUGGCGAAGGCGGGUCUCUGGGCAGUAACUGACGCUGAGGAGCGAAAGCGUGGGGAGCGAACAGG
rnacentral:rRNA from 1 species